UCCCUGGCAGCCCUGUGGUUAAGACUCUGCGCUUCCACUGCAGGGGGCUCAGGUUCGAUCCCUGGUCAGGGAA
rnacentral:tRNA from 1 species